GACGUAGGGCGCGAGCGUUGUCCGGAUUUAUUGGGCGUAAAGAGCUCGUAGGCGGCUUGUCGCGUCGGCUUUGAAAUCCCGUGGCUCAACUGCGGGUCUGCAGCCGAUACGGGCAGGCUAGAGUUCGGUAGGGGAGACUGGAAUUCCUGGUGUAGCGGUGAAAUGCGCAGAUAUCAGGAGGAACACCGGUGGCGAAGGCGGCCCUCUGGACGGAUACUGACGCUGAGGCGCGAAAGCGUGGGGAUCAAACAGG
rnacentral:rRNA from 1 species